UUCAUGUCUCAAAACCUAUUUGCUGGAACUGGAAGGGACAAAAGGGGAAGAAAAGCAGAUUCCCACUUCAUAUGUAAUGUUUUUUUUUUUUUGUUUAAUUUGGUAUUUUAUUAAUAAUUAACAAAACAUAAUGGACCAACCUAUUAUACAAUUAAACAUUGUAAGCCUAUUUAUCUGAUCCGACCCAACCCGGAUCUAAUAACAAAACCAAAUAUAAUUAGUAGGUUUCCAAAAUAGAUAACUUUCCUAAUCUUUAUCUCUUUCACGCCGCCUUUCACCAUUUUCCUUCGUGGCUUCAAAAUUAGUUUCUUUCGAUUUUUACACUGGAGAAUCAAUCUUGUACCGCCUUCUUGUCAAAGCUUCACCUUCAGAUUCAGCUUCCAACAACUCUGAAAGACAUGUUGAUCAUCUUUGUUGGCUCUAUUCUGCUGAGUUAAGAUUCUACUUCCAAGAAUGACUCUUUUCAUUAACCUUUUGUUCCAUUUAAGACUUUUCGAUGCUUGUCUUAGUGCUUUCUGCUUGUGAUUCUCAGAUCUAGUUAAGAUGAAGAAAAGGGAUGCUUGGACCAGAAAAAAAUCUGAGGAACUGCUUUACAAUCAUGUUUAUAAAGCUGAAUCGGCCCCUAGAUCCUUCCCUAAAGCUGAUAAUCUAUUUUGAUGGCUGCAGUAGUUUAGGAUAGUUAAAACAUACUUGGUUUUUGUUGUGAUCUUGACUUGUGAAUAUGUAGUUUGUGCACUACAUAGCCUAACUUCCUUGUUUCCCUUUAUCCCUUUAGUGGUAUGAUUCUCAAAUAGGGGCACUGCCAUUUAUCACUAUUAAGAAUAGUUUUUUCUUUCUUGUGAAGUUGCUGAAAACUGGUGAUAGUAAUUGCUCCUGAAUCUAUUACUAGAUUAGCAAGAUAAUUAGAUAACUGUUUUUCUUCCCUGUAAAUAUGCUGAUAUACAACUUGCUUAUCUUACAAAUACUUCUUUAUCUCCU